ACUCAAAUGAAUUGACGGGGGCCCGCACAAGCAGUGGAGUAUGUGGUUUAAUUCGAAGCAACGCGAAAAACCUUACCAGGUCUUGACAUCUGGCAAACUUGGUCGAAAGACUAGGGUGCCCUUCGGGGAAUGCCAAGACAGGUGGUGCAUGGUUGUCGUCAGCUCGUGUCGUGAGAUGUUGGGUUAAGUCCCGCAACGAGCGCAACCCUUGCCGUUAGUUACUACGAAAGAGGACUUUAACGGGACUGCCGCUGAUAAAGCGGAGGAAGGUGGGGAUGACGUCAAAUCAUCAUGCCCCUUAUGAUCUGGGCUACACACGUACUACAAUGGCGCAUUCACAAUGGGUCGCUACCCAGCGAUGGGAAGCUAAUCCCUAAAAGGCGUCUCAGUUCGGAUUGCAGGCUGAAACUCGCCUGCAUGAAGUAGGAAUUGCUAGUAAUCGCGGAUCAGCAUGCCGCGGUGAAUACGUUCCCGGGCCUUGUACACACCGCCCGU
rnacentral:rRNA from 1 species